CCCAAUUCAUAAUCUUUUAUUUCCUUUAUCACUAAAAUUGCAAGUCAUGAGCCAUUGGUUCAGUGAUUGGCAGAUGACUUUCGGUGCAGAUGACUUUCAGUUAUAAGUUUCUCGCUUUCUUCCCUAUUAAACAAAGGCAGAAGAUGGCUAUAUCAACCACACUGUACAACACUAAUUCUGAAAGCCAACCUGAAUCAAGUUCAAGAUGCGCUUUGCGCGACAAAAGUUCUGUAGACGAAAUUAUAAAAAUUGUUUGAGGAUUUCAGCCAAAAAGAAAAGGUGCUUGAGAUGUGUUCUCAGAUACUAUACAAACAUCACUCACAGGGAUUAAAAAUCAGGUGGAUAUCAUGAGACAUUCCAACUGCCAUAUCCAUGAGUAAAUCAUUCCCAGUGCGCAAUAUAUAGAAAGAAGCAAAAUGGGUACAAAGGGAAGCUUAUCACCAAAGAGGUGAGGAUGCAAAAACUGCCCCCCAUAUUUCAACAGCCAAAAGACCGAGUAGGUAACAUUUACCAACCCACCCAAUAAGGAUUCUUUCUUUUUCAUCAGUGCCACUUGAAGAUCUCAGUGAACCCAAUUGUUCAUCUCUCUUUGCUGAUACUGUCACUUUAGCUGCUGCAUCCUUGUUGAUUUGUGCAGAAAAUCAGUGCCAUAUUAGAAUGGAAUGUAAUAGCAAUAACAGCACUUUCAUAGGAUAUUCCUGAACCUCAUAUAGAAGUGGAAAUAGUGAAAAGCAUAAAACUGCAUAUAAAUAUCCAACAUCAGUUUAUAGAACUGGUGAUGAAAGCCUAAUCAUCUCCCCACCCCCAAAACCUUAAAAAAAAAAAAAAGAGUAUAAAUUGUAUAAGAAUUUCACGCUGGCCUUCUUAAUUCCUUUCCAUGUUGGCUGAGCAUUGAAGUAAUGCACCAAUGCUAGCAAGUGUGAUAUUUUGGGGUUGGGGGUGAGUUCUCAUCUCAAACAAGAUGCUCAUUACAUGAGAAACAAUGUGCUUGUUCGGAAAAUAUAUUGAUGCCUAGAUGAAAAGAAAGGGAAUGGUAAAACAUAUAUAAACCUUAGCACUGAAACAUAGGUCUGGCUGGUAAAAAUUCAAUAAUCAUCACAGAAACUCCCUAUUAUCCUUCAACAGAUACAAUUUUGGCAUGAACUAACAUACCUAGAGCCAGCAAGAAGUAAUGCCUUGCAUCUUCCAAACUAUGCACUGCAACAAGAGCAAAAGGGAUGACAAAGUGGAGUGAUGCCUUUUCAUGAAUAUGCCACCCAAAUAAAAAGCCACAUGUAUAAGCAUAAGCAAUCCAUCUUGCAACCAACCAUGGUUGGGGACUCUUCCAAGCCUUAAAAAGGCAAAGAGAUAAGGCAAGCAAGACCAUAAUGAAGGUUGUCAUGUGGUUGAUCUGCCAUUUGAUUAAUUUUGAGAUAUAAUGUUAUGUCUUUCCAAUGCUUUGAGAAUCAAAUUAGAGAACGACAAAUUAAACAUCAUUAGAGUCAAUUUCAGCUACUAAUUCCAUAAAUGAAUCCCAUCAGUUCAGUAAUCAAUCAAGUUCAAUAGGACCAUCUGUCCAAUAGGCAUUGCUCAGAUGAUCAAAGAUGUGAACAUAAAUGCCUCUCCCUCAUCAGUAGGUCAUAUUGUUCAAAAUCAAUCAAGACCAUUUUGAACACAGCAGCUGCAGUGGGACUUGGGCUGAUAUAUGAAAGACCAAAAAAGGAGAAACAGCAUGUUGAACAUAUUAAAAGUACUUCAGGUAAUACCGCAAAAGGCAGUGAAUCCCCUACCAAGCCACCAGUAAAUGAUGCUGCUGGUGCUUGGACGUUCAAUCCAAGUUUUCUGAGCAAGAUAUCUAACCCUUUAUCUGAUAUAAUAUAAAAUACCCAAAAAUUUGGGGCCCAGUAUGCAUGGCAAAGUCCCCUGCCAAAAGGAAACAUGCGGCUGAUAACUUGUUGUAUCUGUCCAUGAUACAAAAAUGGACCAUAUGCAGCAGCAAAAACCACCAUGACGACAAUCCCCAUAGAUAUAAGCUGCCAAAAACCUCUUAACAAACCUUUCCAACAAUAAUGCCUCAACAAGUACACAAAAUAAACUGGUGCAGCCACAGCAAACAAGUGCUUAAAACAUAAUAAAAUCGCAAAAAAGAAGCCACCCAUCAAAUCCCUCCCUUCUUGCAAGUAGGAGAUGGACAACAUCAAUAGCCCUAGCAAAAACCCAUUGUACUGGAAAUGCAUAGAGUCCACCACUAUAAGGCCUGGGGACCAAACCACCAAUAAACACAUUAAAGUUCUCUUUCUGAACUCCAAAUUCUUAGUCAAUCUAUAAACACCAUAUAAAAGACACAAAUCUGAGACAAUCACGCUGAUCCUUUGGAAAUAGACUACUGUGUUUGAUUUAUAAUUGAGGCCUCUGUGGAUGUCAACUAUUUGGGGGUCAAUCAAAUGGGCAAAGAAGGAGAGAAUGCAUUCAUAAUAGGCAAAGAAUGGAGGGUAAUCAAGAGUCCAUGGGCUAGACUCUUCAAAGUACCACUGACGGAGAGGGAGUGAGUGGGUUAAAGCGAGCCAAUGUCGAUGGACCUCAAAGUCUGUGCUGUGGUAUGAUGGGAUCAGUAGGAGCUUUAUGCAUGCUGCUAUGCCAAAGAACCACAAAAGCUGCUGUGUGUUGGUGGAUCUCUCAUGCAUUUGGAGCUUUUGGCCUUCCAUGGUUGAAACUGAUUAGCUAAGAUAAAAAAUGCGGGCAGCGAGAAUCCCGUAACUAGCCUAUGGAUCAAUAUGUGAAUCCAAUAAUUGCUUGUCAAUGUUAUCCACGCCAAAAGUCAAAAUCAAUGUAUUCAGAAAAUUAGUAAACUGGGAGGCAGAGGUGUAGGAAACUUUUCAAUUGCUUCAAAAGUGCCUUCUCAGUCUGCAUCAAGAAGUGAUACUAAAUGGAAAAAAAAAAAAGGAAGAUAAAAAUUCUAUAAAUGAUAAGACAAUACAUUGUUUGGUUACAGAGAAAGCAAAAGAACACAAAAUGAACUUAGUAUAUUGAUUUGCAUUCAAAGUUGUUCCGGUAAAAAUAAUAAACAUCUGGAUUCUGGAAUGAAUAAAGCAUGCCCCGGUUAUGUCUAGUUUCCUUUUUCUCUUCUCUUCUUUUCUUUUCUUUUCUUUUUCCCAAAAUCAAUAAUGUCCUGAAGAAAAGGUUUUCUUCUUUUCUUUUUUCCACUUAAUUAAAAUCUAGCGUUUUCGAAGCCGUGCAGAUCGCUGACUUUAUUCAACGACUUCUUCAUCAGGGCUACCUUAGCCAGCUUUUCAGCCGCUCUCCAAGCUGAAGUAGGCGUGAGCGGCUCUCCAUUCUCGUCAAUCAUAACCAUUGUCUCCCUCUCGCUUCCUCUCCGCCGUUGGAUCAUCAUCUGCUGCUGGUGCUGCUCUAGCCGAUGCUGUUUAAUCCGUUGUAACUCCGCAAGCUCAGCCUCUAACCCUCUAACGUACUCAUCAGCGCAUAUGGAGCUGGAUUGUAAUAUCAGAGCCCGAGACGAUGCCAGCAAGUGGUGCGCGCUUGUGAAAUCGUUGUGCACCACCAGUCUUCGAGUUUCGGCUAUGGCCCGAGUGGUGAGGAAAUGAUUCCUCAGACGUUCGAUUUUGGGUGCCGAAGAUCGCACGGCGUGAGGACGGGGGACGAGUAGGGCCCGAUCGCGGCCGUAUACAACCUCCUGGGUGGCGGGGUCCUUGUAAAGGCAACGAACAGAUAUCACGUGGUGGAACCCAACAGCUGAAGAUGGGACCCUCAACUCCACCAACAAUUCCCUCUCUUCUUCCGCGUACAAAUCGCCUAGCCGCACCGAGCCAGAGCUGAGAACGGUGGGCCUAGCGUUGCACGAAUACACGGCUAAUAUCUCAGCUGGCGCUGAGCCGGAAGCAAAGCUAAGCUGAACUCUCAAGUCUUGUACUACCACACUCAGCAAACCACCCACGCAUUUAGCAAACGCGUCCUCAGCCGGCUCGUGGCUGUAGCCGCCGCUUUGACCAAACCCAAACGCAUGAACUGGGAUCUCAAUAUGAGCAAAUCGGGUGGACGAAACAUGGCCUGAGGCAUGCCGUUGAUUCCCAGUAUUGCUUUGGACUCUUUCAUCCUGACCGUCGGAUAGCAGUAUGAUGCUCGCAACUGGAUUCCGUUCUCUCCUGUCUUCGAGAACCUUACUUGCUUUCCUCAAAGCAUCUCCUACGCUGGUCCCUUGACCACACACGAGACGGUCAAUGAUGCGGCGAGCCGACCGCUGGCCGUGAGCCGUCAUUCUCCUCAGAGGUAACAACCUCUUAGGACUGGACGAGAAAGCCACAAUCGAUAGCCGAUCAGCCGAGCCGAGAGACGAAAUCACCAAUCUCAUGGCGCGUUUAAGCAUCUGCAAUUUAGCUCCAGUCAUGCUUCCACUUACAUCAAGAACCGUGACCAAAUCAACUGGCGCCCGAUGCAAAGGGUCCAAAAGCGGUGCCGUAUUGCUACUGCGUGCCUGUUGUGGCGGUGGUGGCGCUUUCACCCUCAAUGCCACCGCAUAAGUUUCAUAGCCACGGCCCACGGAAACAACAGCAGCUUCGGGUAACAGUCUGACCUGAACAUUUCUGGAAUCACUGGUGCCAUUGAGCGUAACAUCAUCUGAUUUGAUUGAAGAAUGGGUAGGAUUAACGAAGAAUCCUUGAAAUUCCUCGACAUCGUCAUCUUCCCCUUCUUCGGCAUUCUCAUCGGCUUCAGGAAUCGGAAUAAAUCUUCCACCGGCAGUUGGAGAAAGCAAUGGCUCAUCAUCAUCAUAGGAUCUCGAAUCAGAGGUUUUUGGAUUUAGAGAUACUGGCUGGGGUUCGUGUCUUGGGGUGGUCUUAAUGGCUCUGGGUGAAGAUUCGACCACCAAAACUUUUUUUCUCUUCAAGUUUGGGCUGCUUGUCGCUGUUGGAAUUGUUAUCGGCAUUGGUGUUCUGAACGGCGUCAUUUUGUGGGUGAAGAUUCUUGUGGAUGGCGAGUAAAGGAACAUCUUUCCAGGUAGAGUUGCAGACGGGGCACACAAGGCUGCCAUGCUUACGGACAUGGGCGGCUAUACAAGGGAAGUGAAAAGCGUGUGCGCAUUCUGCUGUGUAUAUUGCCGUGCCCUGACCUGUCUUCACGCUAUUCAAACAGAUUCCGCAGCUACUCCUGAAUUUGAAGCUAUUCUUGAAGAGGGACAGCUUAAGAGGAGAUCGAGGAGAGGAUGGGUUUGAACUCUUAGCUGCUCUGGGUGUGGUUUUGCAAUGGAGCACGGGACUUUCAUUCGUGGAAGGUGGUUCCGAAGUAUUACUUGUAGUUCGGCAACGUAAGCUUGGGCUAGAGAUGGGCUGCGACCGUAGGCGAGGCGUGGCGGGGUUGGUUCCACCAGAGAGGAACCCUAGCUUGGCACAGCUUCUGGGGAUUGGGCUACGACUAGGACUUGUUUGUUGUUUGUCUGAAAUUGAGGUAAUAUCUGGGUCUCUAGGAAUGGUAGUGCAAAAGGCUCUUCUCCAACCUGUACCCAUUAUGAGUGAGUGACCAAAGCAAAGACUCCCUUUUUGCCUUUCUUUUUUGCUGCCGCUGAAUCUUUAUGUAUCUGUUUCUAUAUAUCUCCACCUUUCCUUAUGUUUCGUAGAGGUGGAGAAGAUAAAGAAAAAGUUUUGUUUUGAUCGAUCUGAGGUUGCCACAGAAGACAAAAGCGCAGAAUCAGAUUCAGCAAUAAGAGCAUGGGAUCAAACGAAAAGAGAAGCAAAGAGACAAAGAAGUGGGAUUUAAGAGAGAAAGAACCCAAUACACAGAACUUUCUUUCUAUUUCUAUUUCUCUUUUGCUCUCAUUUCUUAUUUCGACUUUCUAUCCUAUACUGUUCUCUCCAUGGAUAACCCCAAAAAGAUGUCUGGCAACCUAAAGGCUUGAGAUCUACUGCUUCUCUUUCUCUGUGUUUGAUAUAAAACAGUUUCGCUUUGAAAUAUAUAUUCCUUGGAAAUGGUAAAUAAGGACUUUACCCUUGUCACCGGCACGUGUUGGUUUAUUUUUUACGUUGCCGGUCAACGUUUCAGCCACCCUGUAUACCACGUUUUAGCCACCGACCUUUACACUGGUCACCAUCUCGUGCAUGCUCCCAUACUCUUUUAAGAAUCUCGUUUCACGCGCCCUGCAGGGAUAACUUCACGUGAUUCUUCGUGGAUAGUCAAUGCGUGGCGUUCACAUUCAUAACUGCGUGUGGAAACAGAACUGGAACUGUCGCGCUUGUCUCUCUCGUUCAUGCAUGAUACGGCUUGGUAGUUGCUCCUGAUAAUUAUCCGGCGCGGUCAAGAGCAUUAUUUGAAAUUUGUAAUCACCAAUGUCAUCCGUUCAUCGUUAUUUAUCAAUUAUGUUUCGAUUUUAAAAUAAAU
rnacentral:misc_RNA from 1 species